UCACUGCAUCUACACUGCAUUGGCCAGACCUUAUUUGUGGGACUACAGUUCUCUCACUUUCUUUAAUCCAUCUUCCCAGUAGCUGAGAAAGUGGUGCAGCGCUGAAGGACGUUAUUUGCCUGCGUAUUAGACUAUUACAGGCUGACUCAUCGGAGGGUACGGGAUGAAAAAGGGCAACAACUGUUGGCGUCCCGCUGUGGGGCCUCUUCUGGAGCAGAGUGUGUGAAGAGGUUUAAAGAAAGAGAGUCAAAGCUCCUGUCAUACAGGAAAGCAGGGGCAGAGCCAACUGCCCAGCAGACAAGCGGACCAAACUGGAGGUGGUGAAGAGAACUGAGCGAGAACCAACAUCACCACAUCUGAAAGAGAGCAAAGCAGGAAUGUCUCCAGAUUCUCUGAUUCAUUCGCGGAUACUGUUUAAUGAAGAUGGUGGGAUAUUCAAAGCAUUCACAGUUUUUACGAAAUGGUGUUCCAUUGUGAAUACAAUAUGCAUCUGUGAGUGUGCAGUCCUGCAGUCUCCAGAAGAUGCUUGACCUAGGAGAGAUGUUUUGGCUCCUCCCCUUUGCUGACCUGGGAAAAUAUCCUGCAUAGACACAUCCGCUUUAGCUGUGUUCCAAAGUCUAGGCUGUAGUUGAGGUAGAGCGGGUCCUGUGAAGAGUCCUGCUCCAUAGCCUGUGGGUUGCACAUAUGGAACAGUCUAACUGUGGUGAUGUCUUGUGCAAACAUCACAUGAUGACACUGAGGCACGAAAUUCAGCCUACACUUUGGAACGCAGCUACUGACUGUUCUCUUGCUAGUACUGUUAUAUAUUCAUCAUUCAUUUUUGGGCAGCAUUAGUGCUGGUUUGAUUGAUCUGUUUUUAGAGCAUGUAGCUUUUGUAUAUUUUUUUUCUUAUACUUUCAGUUUAUUAGUUUCUAAAUUUGUUUGAUUUGUCUGAUUUUGGCAUGUAUUCACUAUAUACAAUUUCCCCAUUUCUUGUGAAUAAAAUCAUCCUGGUUUAUUACAUCAA